rnacentral:tRNA from 1 species
CGGGACGUGGCGCAGCCUGGUAGCGCACUUGACUGGGGGUCAAGGGGUCGUAGGUUCAAAUCCUAUCGUUCCGA